GAUGAAGAACGCAGCGAAAUGCGAUAAGUAAUGUGAAUUGCAGAAUUCAGUGAAUCAUCGAAUCUUUGAACGCACAUUGCGCCCGCCAGUAUUCUGGCGGGCAUGCCUGUCCGAGCGUCAUUUCAACCCUCGGGCCCCCCUCUGCGGGCGGCCCGGCGUUGGGGCUCAGGCGCCGUCUCUGCUCGGCGCCUGUCCCCUAAAUGCAGUGGCGGCCUCGCCGCUGCCUCCUCCGCGUAGUAGCACAAACCUCGCGGCUGGAAGGCGGCGCGGCCACGCCGUAAAACCCCCCAACUUUACCAAGGUUGACCUCGGAUCAGGUAGGAAUACCCGCUGAACUUAAGCACAUCAAUAAGCGGAGGA
rnacentral:misc_RNA from 1 species